GCAGGCAGGAACCCCAUCUCCUUGACUUUACUUUGGAAUCCCCGCAGCCUCAUACGGGGCUGAGGCAGGUCCUUCCGUAAAAUGGAACUGAAUGAGCGGCGCUUAAUCCAUCCGCCAAAGGCCAGUCUCCCUUGGGUUUUCAACAGUGCAAUGAGCUUCAUGCUGAAUACUGAUUUGAAGUGUGGUUCACCACACAGACUUAAAUUGUCCUUCCCACAACUUUAUCUGAGAAGCAUGACAACGGUGACAAUCACAGGACUAGUUUUAUUGGAGCUGAUGUUUACUAGAAUUGAACAUGGGUCAUGCAAGAAGCACUGAGUCAAGAUUGGCUGGGACUGCGGAAUCCUCUCUCUCCUGCAGGAAUCCCAUCCACACGCUCCUGGUUCACUUUCAUCAUCUGAAGGACCUCUUCGUACCUAGAUUCUACUUGUUAUGUGCAGUUUAUUUUGGUUCUAAAGGUCAGAGGCAAAUAUUAAUAAAGGCAUUUGCAGCCUUU
rnacentral:lncRNA from 1 species